AUUGAACGCUGGCGGCAUGCUUUACACAUGCAAGUCGAACGGCAGCACGGGGGCAACCCUGGUGUCGAGCGGCGAACGGGUGAGUAAUACAUCGGAACGUGCCCGGUCGUGGGGGAUAACGUAGCGAAAGUUACGCUAAUACCGCAUACGAUCUGAGGAUGAAAGCGGGGGACCUUCGGGCCUCGCGCUAUCGGAUCAGCCUAGGUCGGAUUAGGUAGUUGGUGGGGUAAAGGCCUACCAAGCCGACGAUCCGUAGCUGGUCUGAGAGGACGAUCAGCCACACUGGGACUGAGACACGGCCCAGACUCCUACGGGAGGCAGCAGUGGGGAAUAUUGGACAAAGGGCGAAAGCCUGAUCCAGCCAUGCCGCGUGUAUGAAGAAGGUCUUCGGGUUGUAAACCGCUUUUGGAUGGGACGAAAAGGAUUAGGCUAAUACCUGGGGGUCAUGACGGUACCAUAAGAAUAAGCACCGGCUAACUACGUG
rnacentral:rRNA from 1 species